CUGGUUGCCCUCUGCAGGAGCACUUCUGCUCUGAGCCCAAGGCAGUCAGGCUGCGCGACAUUGGCAUGCAGGAGGAGGCAGCUCGGUUUCAAGGGGUCACAUCAGUCCCCCACUCCCGGCAGAUCCCAUUCAACCACUCUUGAGUCCUGGCACAUGGUCUCUGGACACAGCCCCUCUUCGUCGCCAAGGACCCAGGCUCCUGGGUCCCCUGGUGCUCUGUUUCAUGUCGGGGACUCUCUUCCCUCUUGGCAGAUCUCGCUUUUCGGCCCACAUUGGGAGUUCUGGGGUUACCAGCAAAGUCUCUUUAGAAGUCUGGGGGCCAAGCAGAAGUGCAGUGCAACGCUGAUGUUUGGGGGCAAAGAUAACCCGCAGAAGCCCACCCCGCUCAUCACUUGCAGGAAGACGAUGGCAGCUUCCCUGCCGGGGCUAAGGACCGCUCCCUGCCUCCAGAACCCGCCUCGUCCCGCUCCC